rnacentral:rRNA from 1 species
UACGGAGGGUGCAAGCGUUGUCCGGAUUUAUUGGGUUUAAAGGGUGUGUAGGUGGCGCGCUAAGUCGGGUGUGAAAUUUCGGAGCUUAACUCCGAAACUGCAUUCGAUACUGGCGUGCUUGAGGACUGGAGAGGAGACUGGAAUUCAUGGUGUAGCAGUGAAAUGCGUAGAGAUCAUGAGGAAGACCAGUGGCGAAGGCGGGUCUCUGGACAGUUCCUGACACUGAGACACGAAGGCCAGGGGAGCAAACGGG